rnacentral:rRNA from 1 species
UACAGAGGGGGCAAGCGUUGUUCGGAAUUACUGGGCGUAAAGCGCGUGUAGGCGGCCUUCUAAGUCUGGUGUGAAAGCCCGGGGCUCAACCCCGGAAGUGCAUUGGAUACUGGGAGGCUGGAGUACCGGAGAGGAGGGUGGAAUUCCUGGUGUAGCGGUGAAAUGCGUAGAUAUCAGGAGGAACACCGGUGGCGAAGGCGGCCCUCUGGACGGAUACUGACGCUGAGACGCGAAAGCGUGGGGAGCAAACAGG